GGAGGAAUCAGUGGGAAAUGAAUUGGAAGGCAAGAAAAAGGAUGUGUUUUCUGAGGAGCAAGGAACAGAAGAUGAUGAUGGCAAUUUUGAAAGUGAGCCUUGGGAUUUGCUUUCAUCGGCAUCCUUAGGUCAUGAUCAAGCUACCCAAACUAUUGAAAAGGAUCUAGUAAUGGUUCAUAUGCUUCGCCUUGCUUGUGCUUCAAAAGGAGGUUUGGCUGAUGCUAUAUCUCAAAUAACCA
rnacentral:misc_RNA from 1 species